rnacentral:tRNA from 1 species
CGAAACGUGGUCUAGCGGUUAGAACGCUGGCCUUGUAAUCCUGGGGUCUCGGGUUCGAUUCCCGGCGGUGCCC